rnacentral:antisense_RNA from 1 species
GAACACAAAAUGGCGACACGUGGUUAGCAUUCGUCGCCAACGAGAAAUUGGGGUCGGCCCGAAAGCUCUAGAAUGCACCCCCCUUCUUCCCCGGGGCCUUCCACCUCCGCGAGUUUUAUGACUUAAAAAACCCCACAGGCUGGUCUGAAGGUCGGAGGCCUAAUUUUAACGCGUUUUCCUCCCUUUAAUUUGAAACGCGAACGCGAAUGGCUGUAAAAUGUGGGCACAAUAUUUAAUUUCUCGCCUUUUUAAAGCUUAAUAGUGGAUAAUAGGGGGCAGUAUCAAGGGAUAAUUUGGGUCCCCACAGUACCAAAGCAUUUAGAAACCUCUGUUUAAUUUAAGGAAUGAGAUAAAUUACUGCUUUUCUAGACUUCCUAGCAUGGGCUGUUGUGCUGGAGAGAACGAGAGCUACGAAGAGACUACAAUGCCUCUGACUUUUUCAUAGGACAGUUGGCCGAGGAAGACAAACAUAAAGAUGAAGUGCUUAAUUCAAGGUCACACAAUGUCGGGGAUGGACCUCCAGAUUUCCUUACUGGUGGAGUCUCACUCUGUAGCCCAAGCUGGAGUGGUGUGAUCUCGACUCACUGCAACCUCCGCCUCCUGGGCUCAAGUGAUUCUCGUGCCUCAGCCUCCUGAGUAGCUGGGACUACAGGUACGCACU